rnacentral:rRNA from 1 species
AUUGAACGCUGGCGGCAGGCCUAACACAUGCAAGUCGAACGAGUGGCGGACGGGUGAGUAAUGUCUGGGAAACUGCCUGAUGGAGGGGUAUAACUACUGGAAACGGUAGCUAAUACCGCAUACCAUCGGAUGUGCCCAGGUGGGAUUAGCUAGUGGGUGGGGUAACGGCUCACCUAGGCGACGCUCCCUAGCUGGUCUGAGAGGAUGACCAGCCACACUGGAACUGAGACACGGUCCAGACUCCUACGGGAGGCAGCAGUGGGGAAUAUUGCACAAUGGGCGAAAGCCUGAUGCAGCCAUGCCGCGUGUAUGAAGAAGGCUUUCGGGUUGUAAAGUACUUUCAGCGGGGAAGCGUUACCUGAAGAAGAAGCACCGGCUAACUCCGUGCCAGCCGCCGCGGUAAUUC